GACGUAGGGCGCGAGCGUUGUCCGGAUUUAUUGGGCGUAAAGAGCGUGUAGGCGGCCAGGUAGGUCCGUUGUGAAAACUCGAGGCUUAACCUCGAGACGUCGAUGGAAACCAUCUGGCUAGAGUCCGGAAGAGGAGAGUGGAAUUCCUGGUGUAGCGGUGAAAUGCGCAGAUAUCAGGAAGAACACCCGUGGCGAAGGCGGCUCUCUGGGACGUGACUGACGCUGAGACGCGAAAGCGUGGGGAGCAAACAGG
rnacentral:rRNA from 1 species